UACGUAGGGCGCAAGCGUUGUCCGGAAUUAUUGGGCGUAAAGAGCUCGUAGGCGGCUUGUCACGUCGGGUGUGAAAUCCCGGGGCUUAACCCCGGGUCUGCAUUCGAUACGGGCUGGCUAGAGUGUGGUAGGGGAGAUCGGAAUUCCUGGUGUAGCGGUGAAAUGCGCAGAUAUCAGGAGGAACACCGGUGGCGAAGGCGGAUCUCUGGGCCAUUACUGACGCUGAGGAGCGAAAGCGUGGGGAGCGAACAGG
rnacentral:rRNA from 1 species